CCUACGGGAGGCUGCAGUGAGGAAUAUUGGUCAAUGGACGAGAGUCUGAACCAGCCAAGUAGCGUGAAGGAUGACUGCCCUAUGGGUUGUAAACUUCUUUUAUAAAGGAAUAAAACGAGGCACGUGUGCCUUUUUGCAUGUACUUUAUGAAUAAGGAUCGGCUAACUCCGUGCCAGCAGCCGCGGUAAUACGGAGGAUCCGAGCGUUAUCCGGAUUUGUUGGGUUUAAAGGGAGCGUAGAUGGGUUGUUAAGUCAGUUGUGAAAGUUUGCGGCUCAACCGUAAAAUUGCAAUUGAUACUGGCAGUCUUGAGUACAGUUGAGGUAGGCGGAAUUCGUGGUGUAGCGGUGAAAUGCUUAGAUAUCACGAAGAACCCCGAUUGCGAAGGCAGCUUACUAAACUGUGACUGACAUUGAUGCUCGAAAGUGUGGGUAUCAAACAGGAUUAGAUACCCGAGUAGUC
rnacentral:rRNA from 1 species